GACGGAGGAUGCAAGCGUUAUCCGGAAUGAUUGGGCGUAAAGCGUCCGCAGGUGGCAGUUCAAGUCUGCUGUCAAAGACCGGGGCUUAACUUCGGAAAGGCAGUGGAAACUGAACAGCUAGAGUAUGGUAGGGGCAGAGGGAAUUCCUGGUGUAGCGGUGAAAUGCGUAGAGAUCAGGAAGAACAUCGGUGGCGAAGGCGCUCUGCCGGACCAUAACUGACACUCAGGGACGAAAGCUAGGGGAGCGAAUCGG
rnacentral:rRNA from 1 species